CAGCCGCCACGGUAAUACGUAGGGUGCAAGCGUUAAUCGGAAUUACUGGGCGUAAAGCGUGCGCAGGCGGUUCUAUAAGACAGAUGUGAAAUCCCCGGGCUCAACCUGGGAACUGCAUUUGUGACUGUAGAGCUGGAGUGCGGCAGAGGGGGAUGGAAUUCCGCGUGUAGCAGUGAAAUGCGUAGAUAUGCGGAGGAACACCGAUGGCGUAGGCAAUCCCCUGGGCCUGCACUGACGCUCAUGUACGAAAGCGUGGGGAGCAAACAGGAUUAGAUACCCCAGUAGUCCCUGUCUCUUAUAC
rnacentral:rRNA from 1 species